CCUCUGUACGAUUGGUAUCUUUCUGACCUCGUGUACCUCUCUCCUCCUGCAUGAAAUCUGUGUGGGAGAAAAUGGAUUUUCUGAGUUUGCUGCCUCUUUUCUUCUCGGCAGUGGCUGUGAGCAGAGCCCAGGUGCAGCAGGAGCCGUUGGCAGAGACAACCGAGGGGGCUGCAGUCAACAUCACCUGCUCACACCCCAACAUACAGAUCGGCUAUUCCAUCUACUGGUACCGUCAGCUACCGGGCCGAGGCCCCGCAUUCCUCGUCAGCGCUGUCAAAGGCUCCAAGGAGGUGCCGGACCCGGAGGGGCAGCUGUGGGUGUCGGCAGACCGCCGCUCCAGCGUUCUGCGUCUCGCCCGGCCCCGGCUCGGGGACGCGGCGCUGUAUUACUGCGCCGUGGGCGCACGGGAAGCGAAGCCGGGGCUGCGGCCGGGCACGAACCGCUUGGGGCGGGGCGGGGGCACAGUGCCGUCCGGGCCCGCAGGGGGCGCUGCCGCUCCUCCCUCCCGGCGCCGCCGAGCUGGCAGUGCUGACAUGGAACGCGUCCCUCGCACCGCUCGGCAUCCUCCGGAGAAAGGCGUUCCAGCUGCACACCCUCAUGAACACGGCAUGUCGAGGUCACAGACACAUCUAAGUGGUCCCACAUGAGCUCUGUUUUCAGACUGUGAAACUGUGUGAGGGGACUGAGUGCCUCUGGAGGUGGCUGUAGAUUCAGCAGAGGCCUCUGUGAGGUGUGUUGGCUGUGAGGGCUUUAACGGGCUUUCAAGUCCCUUCUCAGUUGAAAUGCAAUUAUAAAUAAAAGGGAGAGUGAUAAAC